rnacentral:rRNA from 1 species
AGGUGACUAUAGCGGCGGGGUUCCACCUCUUCCCAUUCCGAACAGAGAAGUUAAGCCUGCCAGCGCCGAUGGUACUGCAUUCGUGGGAGAGUAGGUCGUUGCC